UUGUAUCCAAUUUAUGACCUUGAUUAACCACGAUUCUUCAAUCACUCGAAAUGAAUCUAGUGCCAUUUUAUAGUACUCGUCGUUCGUGAAGAACAUGAUCCAUAUAUAUUUAUGUAUCAUCGGUUUUGAGCCCACAAUUUGUUUCGUUAGUUUACAAGAUGAAAAUAAGGUUUUAAAAGCAAGUCAAAUAUUGAGGACAUCCAAGAAUGCGCAUAACACAUGUAUGUAUACUCGCAAUGGAAUUAACUCCUCACUCGAUUUACACAAAAAAUAGGGACUCAUAAAGUCUCGCUGUUUGUGGACUUAUUGAUGUCAAUGAUGGAGAAGCUAACGAAAGGAUCCGACUUCGCAGAAACGUGUAUCAUUCAAUGACUUCUCCAAAACCCCUCGUUCCCGUCAGUUUAUUUUAUUACUGAAAGAGGAGAUUUUUAUGGUUAGUCGUAACUUGCGGAGCGAAAAUCAUUAUUGCAAAACAGAAGAGUAUUGUAGAAUAGGGUCGACUGUAGUGUACCAACCAAGUGCAAAACAAAAAUUUAUUAGAAGUCCUAUACUAGCUCUGAGAAAAUGAGGACCAAAAUUUUUGCAAACAACAGGAAAUACAUAUAACAGUCAAACCAAGCCAGGUUUUUAAGUAAUGUGUACGUGCAUAUAUGUCAUGAAUGGAUUCGAGAAACGUCAAUUAACCUUUGGGUCAGCUCUUGAAAUAACAAUUCUUUACUGCUUCGCAGCAGGAGUCAGGUUUCCUAUUUGGCGUUCCAAUACUUUUAUUUUACAAUGGCAGCAAUCCGACGCCACAAAAUGGUCUCAAUAGGUUUCUCAAGCGAAAGUUUAUUAUCCGAAUUCAUAAACUUUCAACCAAUGGAUCUGUUAUCCAUUCCAUUGGUUAAAAAAUUAUCAACAAUGAACGCAAGCAACAACAACAUUUCUAAUGUACUGCGUUGCAUAGUUUUGCAUAUGUAUGUGACAUAAAAUUUGCUACAUAAUACAUAAAUCAAUCAGAUCAAUGAUUUCCCAUUUGCUGGCUCUUGCUUUAGUUCCAGUAGAUUUAAAUAAUAUGUGAUAUGAUACAUAUCGAUACAGGAUGCGAUUUAUUGUAGUCCAAAAAUCACUUUUACCCGUAUGCAACUAUUUGUCAAUUCUUAUGAAAAAAACUAUCGAUCAACGCAGAUUUGUACAACAAUGAAUCAGUUUAUAUCAUCCA